AAAAAAAAAAAAAAAAAAAAGUAUUUAUGCAUGUAUAUUGAUAAACAAAAUCAGUUAAAAAAAAAAAAUAAUAUUUUUUUCUAUUUUGGCCUGUAACACUUCAAACACUUAAUGGCUCAUAUACAGUCUUAGUCAGUACCUAACAAGGCUAGCCAAUGACUUUCCUGCCUUUUUUGCUUAACCGGUCGAGGUUACAUUGGCUCAUACAAUCUUUUUCUCUUUUGGCCUGUAACACUUAAAUCAGUUAAAAAAAAAAAUAUUUAUGCAUGUAUAUUGAUAAACAAAAUCAGUUAAAAAAAAAAAAAGUACUAUUUUUUUCUAUUUUGGCCUGUAACACUUCAAACACUUAAUGGCUCAUCUACAGUCUUAGUCAGUACCUAACAAGGCUAGCCAAUGACUUUCCUGCCUUUUUUGCUUAACCGGUCGAGGUUACCAAUAUGCUCAUACAAUCUUUUUCUCUUUUGGCCUGUAACACUUAAAUCAGUUAAAAAAAAAGUAUUUAUGCAUGUAUAUUGAUAAACAAAAUCAGUAAAAAAAAAAAAAAGUACUUUUUUUUUCUAUUUUGGCCUGUAACACUUCAAACACUUAAUGGCUCAUCUAGAGUCUUAGUCAGCACCUAACAAGGCUAGCCAAUGACUUUCCUGCCUUUUUUGCUUAACCGGUCGAGGUUACCAAUAUGCUCAUACAAUCUUUUUCUCUUUUGGCCUGUAACACUUAAAUCAGUUAAAAAAAAAAAAUAUUUAUGCAUGUAUAUUGAUAAACAAAAUCAGUUAAAAAAAAAAAUAAAAAAAGUAUUUAUGCAUGUAUAUUGAUGAACAAAAUCAGUAAAAAAAAAAAAGUACAAUUUUUUUCUAUUUUGGCCUGUAACACUUCAAACACUUAAUGGCUCAUCUACAGUCUUAGUCAGUACCUAACAAGGCUAGCCAAUGACUUUCCUGCCUUUUUUGCUUAACCGGUCGAGGUUACCAAUAUGCUCUUACUAUUUUUUUCUAUUUUGGCCUGUAACACUUCAAACACUAAAUGGCUCAUCUACAGUCUUAGUCAGCACCUAACAAGGCUAGCCAAUGACUUUCCUGCCUUU
ensembl:lncRNA